rnacentral:rRNA from 1 species
UACGGGGGGGAGCAAGCGUUGUUCGGAUUUACUGGGCGUAAAGGGCGCGUAGGCGGCCAGCACAAGUCAGUUGUGAAAUCUCCGAGCUUAACUCGGAAAGGUCAACUGAUACUGUGCGGCUAGAGUGCGGAAGGGGCAACUGGAAUUCUUGGUGUAGCGGUGAAAUGCGUAGAUAUCAAAGAGGAACACCUGCGGCGAAGGCGGGUUGCUGGGCCGACACUGACGCUGAGGCGCGAAAGCCAGGGGAGCGAACGGG